UCGUGAGACAGUUCGGUCCCUAUCCAUCGCGGGCGGAAGAAACUUGAAAGGGGCUGCUCCUAGUACGAGAGGACCGGAGUGGACGGACCAAUGGUGUACCAGUCAUGGCGCCAGCCGUGCAGCUGGGUAGCUACGUCCGGGACGGAUAAACGCUGAAAGCAUCUAAGCGUGAAACCAGCCUAAAGAUGAGGUUUCUCAUUGUGAAAGCA
rnacentral:rRNA from 1 species